GUACCUAAAGAAAAGGAUCUACUUUUAUUCCUUGAUCACAUAAUAUCAUAUAGAACAUUAUUUACAGUAAAACCUCUUUCUUGCGCUUCCUUCAUUCGCGCAUUAAAAAAAUGCGACCCAAUUCCUAUAUUAAGAUAUCUUUAGUAGAUAAAGAUUUCUUUAGUCGCGGAUAUAAGACGUCCGGUGCAUUCGUAGCGAUGCAACGGUGUUCGAAUCCCGCAGUUUCAGACGUAUGUUAGUACAUAUGUAACGGAAUCUUUGAACAUGAUUUUGACCCCUUCAAAACGUCGGAUUAACUCGAAAUUUGGCAAAAUUAUAAAGGACCGAUGACAAAAAAAAUUUAAAAAAUUUAAAUUUCACUUAAAAUGUAACGCAAAUGAAAUUUCAAACAAAAAUGAAACAGAAAAAAUGAAAAAUGAAACGAAAUGAACACGCUUUUUUUACAAUAAAAUCAUUUUUCUUACAAUAUUUUUAAUUCAAAUUUAUUAAAAUUUAUUUUCUAUUUUUA